GCGGCCGCUCCGUUUGAUCCCGGCGGAGGUCACUGCUAUCGGUGUUCGAUUAAGCCAUGCGAGUCGAGAGGGGUCAUGCCCUCGGCGGACUGCUCAGUAACACGUGGACAACCUGCCCAAAAGUCUGGGAUAACCCCGGGAAACUGGGGAUAAUACCGGAUAGGUCAAAGAUGCUGGAAUGCUUUUUGGCCGAAACUUCAGGGGCUUUUGGAUGGGUCUGCGGCUGAUUAGGUUGUUGCCGGUGUAACGUACCGUCAAGCCAGUUAUCAGUACGGGUUGUGGGAGCAAGAGCCCGGAGAUGGAUUCUGAGACACGAAUCCAGGCCCUACGGGGCGCAGCAGGCGCGAAAACUCUACAAUGCAGGCAACUGCGAUAGGGGAACAUCGAGUGAUACUCAUAUUGGGUGUCUGUCCACCAGUCUAAAAAACUGGUGUUAGCAAGGGCCGGGCAAGACCGGGGCCAGCCGCCGCGGUAAUACCGGCGGCUCGAGUGGUGGCCGAUAUUAUUGAGUCUAAAGGGUCCGUAGCCGGCUUGGCAAGUCUCUUGGGAAAUCCGGCAGCUUAACCGUCGGUCGUCCGGGAGAUACUACCUUGCUUGGGACUGGGAGAGGCGUGAGGUACUCAGGGGGUAGGAGUGAAAUCCUGUAAUCCUUUGGGGACCACCGGUGGCGAAGGCGUCACGCCAGAACAGGUCCGACGGUGAGGGACGAAAGCUAGGGGCACGAACCGGACUAGAUACCCGGGUAGUCCUAGCCGUAAACGAUGCUCGCUAGGUGCCACGACAAUCGUGAAUUGUCGUGGUGCCGUAGGGAAGCCGUGAAGCGAGCCACUUGGGAAGUACGACCGCAAGGUUGAAACUUAAAGGAAUUGGCGGGGGAGCACCACAACGGGUGGAGCCUGCGGUUUAAUUGGACUCAACGCCGGGAAGCUUACCGGGAUCGACAGUUGUAUGAAGGCCAGGCUGAAGACCUUGCCGGACUAUCUGAGAGGAGGUGCAUGGCCGCCGUCAGUUCGUACCGUGAGGCGUCCUGUUAAGUCAGGCAACGAGCGAGACCC
rnacentral:rRNA from 1 species